rnacentral:misc_RNA from 1 species
UCCUUUCUAAGGAGCACCAUUUCCCAGCCGAAUGAGCUUGGGAACAUAAAGCGAGUUUCUGUAGUGGUUACUCGCUUGGUGAAUAUGUUUUAUAAAUCCUGUCCACCCCGUGGAUAGGUAGUCGGCAAAACGUCGAACUGUCAAUAGAAUUGAAACGCUGGCACACUGUUGGGUCCUGAGGCAACACAUUGUGUUGUCACCCUGCUUGGUGGUGGGGUGUGGUCUUUGACUUAUGGAUAGUGGUUGCGAGCAUCUAACAAGCCUCGCUCGUUUACGAGUGAGGUUAGUUUUUGCAAUUUAUUAGCUAAGUUCUUAAGGGCACAUGGUGGAUGCCUUGGC